UCUUCAGUGAGGCGAUACAGAAAUUUAACAGUAUAACGGUUAAAAAAAUCAACCAUACUAGAAAGAAAAAAUAAAAUAAAAGUAAAAAUAAAAAAGAAAAUAAAAAAAAAUAAAAUAAAUUCAAAUCUCAUUAUGAUUUUAUUUCAUGAAUAAGAACAUUUAUAUAUGAACGUAUAUACAAUAUAUAAAAAAAAAACAUUAAAUAAAUGAAUAAACUAUGUGUAUAUAAUAUGAAAAAAGAAAAUAAAAAUUUCUUGUGGCCUAAAGCAGGAUAAAAGCAAUAAUUUAUAAAUAUAUUAAAGAAAAAAAAAAGGAAGCAAAACAAAAAAAAAAUAUAAUAUAGAAAAAUCUAUAAAAGUGAUGUGAAAAAUAUUUUCAGAAAAUUCAAAUUCAAAUGAAUACAAAAAAAGGGAAUGAAAUAUACAAAAUUUUGCAUAAGAAUCCAAAAAAAAAAACCGAAAAUUUAAAAAAAAUAUUCUCAAUUCUAUUUAAAAAAUUUUUGAAGAGUGCACUAAUAUAACAUCAUUGUUUUUUUCUUUUCUAAUCAAUAUAAUUUUAAUAAAUAUUUUCAAAUGAGCACAAAAUUAAAAAAAUGAUUCAAGAAAACUAAAAACAAUUUACACCUAAAUUCUACAAGGAUAGAAUUAUAACAUAAAAAAAAAAAACACACAAUUAAAAAUUACUGAAAAAUUUUUCUUUACCAUUAUUAUAUACGAAUGAGAAAUUAUUAACCGUAACAGAAAUAUAAGAAAAAGAAGAAGAAAAAAUCAAAAAGGAUUAAAGCCGCCAAAUGGCCAAAAUGGCCUUAUUAUAUUGCCUAAAAAAUCAGGAUUUUAAAGGAUUUUCAAUUAUUGUGAAUAAUGUGUAUUGUAAUACAAAAGCUUAUUUAUAAAUUUAUUGUAUUAUAAAAAUUUUGGAAUUUAUAAUUAAAAUAAUAUAUUCAAUAAUUCAAGUGAAAUAUAUAAUAUAUUAAAUAAUAUUGUUAAAAGGAUCA